CAAUAGCGUAUAUUUAAGUUGUUGCAGUUAAAAAGCUCGUAGUUGGAUUUUGGGUCGGGGCGUCCGGUCCGCCGUUCCGGUGUGCAUUGGGCGCCCCUUCCUUUCUGCCGGGGACCGCCUGGGGCUUUAAGUAGCUCGAGGCGGGAGUCGGCGUUGUUACUUUGAAAAAAUUAGAGUGUUCAAAGCAAGCCAUCGCUCUGAAUACAUUAGCAUGGAAUAACAUGAUAGGACUCCGCUCUUAUUUUGUUGGUUUCCGAGACUGGAGUAAUGAUUAAGAGGGACAGUCGGGGGCAUCCGUAUUUCAUUGUCAGAGGUGAAAUUCUUGGAUUUAUGAAAGACGAACUUCUGCGAAAGCAUUUGCCAAGGAUGUUUUCAUUAA
rnacentral:rRNA from 1 species